CCUACGGGCGGCAGCAGUGAGGAAUAUUGGUCAAUGGACGAGAGUCUGAACCAGCCAAGUAGCGUGAAGGAUGACUGCCCUAUGGGUUGUAAACUUCUUUUAUAUGGGAAUAAAAUGUUCCACGUGUGGGAUUUUGUAUGUACCAUAUGAAUAAGGAUCGGCUAAAUCCGUGCCAGCAGCCGCGGUAAUACGGAGGAUCCGAGCGUUCUCCGGAUUUAUUGGGUUUAAAGGGAGCGUAGGUGGAUUGUUAAGUCAGUUGUGAAAGUUUGCGGCUCAACCGUAAAAUUGCAGUUGAAACUGGCAGUCUUGAGUACAGUAGAGGUGGGCGGAAUUCGUGGUGUAGCGGUGAAAUGCUUAGAUAUCACGAAGAACUCCGAUUGCGAAGGCAGUUCACUGGACUGCAACUGACACUGAGGCUCGAAAGUGUGGGUAUCAAACAGGAUUAGAUACCCUUGUAGUC
rnacentral:rRNA from 1 species